CCUUGAUCUGGAUGACGUCAUCGCGGCCGUUAAUUGACGUUAGCGUGACAGACUGGCAUGAGAAGUCUACACAUCUCUUCAGGAGAGUUGAAGCAGCAGCCGGACCAUGGAUGUAGUAUAGACAACCAGCUUGACUGCUACCCAGAUCCAACACACACUUGGCGGUGUAGGGCCAAUAGUUUUUGAGAAACCUGUGUUUUAUGUUUUUGUUUAUUCAGUUUACUUUCUCAUUAUAUAAUUAAGUAAGGUGCUGCAAACUGGCCUUUAGUUGGGCUAUUUCUGUUUCACUCUCUUGUUAACACACUUAAAAUCCAAAACAACCCAACCACUUGUACUCAUGUUUCAACACCUUCAACCUUCAUCAUGUGAACAUGUAUUGAAACUGUUUAAAUUGGGUACAUGUGUUUGAACAUUUGCAGAACUCGCAGAGAUUAGCAUUUGCUUGUUCUUGGGCAGUUAACAGGAAGUACAACAAUUAAAAGCCAAUUUGCAUUUAAAUCUCAAUAUUAAAGCCAGCUUCAUCUAUAACCACAAAUGAUAGUGUUACAGAUUCACUGUCAAAAGUUUUGAUUAUGAUCAAAACUUAUUUUCAUGUUAUUUUUCUGUUAAAAUUUUAAUUAAAAUGAAUGAUGAAGAUCCUUAAUGUUAAACUGUAUUAUGAGGUGAUGUUGUCAGAGGGUGGCCACCAGGUGGGAGUAUAAACUCAGCUACCUCAUACAGUGUAAUCAUUUUAUGAGACCUGGGCCCUGACAGUUUGUUAGCUAAACUAAACAACCUGCUACAGUAGAUCGCAUACUCAGCCAUAACACCAGAACAGCAAAGUAAUGUAGGUUAAAUGUUUCAAGUGGUGCGUGUAUAGCAAAGCUCUGGCAAGUGUUCUUGAACUCUACAUUAUUAUAGGCCUGUACCUGUCUGGUUAUUGUACAGUGUGUAUCCUCCCAGCUAUGAGAAGGAGAGUGGUUGUUUUCUAAACUUCUGGGUUUAGUUCAGUAUAGUAGAAUGUUUUAAAUUCUGGGAAUACGUUAU